GGCGGCGAAGGAGAAGGGCUCCUUCCGGGCGCGCUGCUCGGCGAAGGCCUCGUCGAGGAAGGCGCGCUCGUCCGGGCCGAUCUUGCCGCUGC
rnacentral:tRNA from 1 species